rnacentral:rRNA from 1 species
AUGAACAUGCAUGAACUUCCUGGAGAAUCCAAUGUUGUAGAAAAAAUGCAUAUGCAAGUGAAUACAGCCGAGCUCCAGCCCAUGAAGUUGAACCUCUGUAUGUCUGCAUCGGUGGAGCAGAAGCUGCUCACUCACCUGAAGGUUGCUGGACGGGAUCAGUUUGAAUGGCAGCUGCCUGAACCGGAUCGCGGCAGGUACGAAAGACAAGGGGCCAGCAUGGUCAAUGUCAUGGUCGUUGGUGCCUCACUCCCCUGGUCAUGGUCACGGUUGCCGACACCAGCGUCGACGUCUCGCCCUCGACAUAAUCCUGAUCAACCCCUCCCAACGCUCGACCUUGCGGACCCCCGUCAGCAGUGA